UCGCAUCCCAAUAGUCCCCCAUCGAAAAGAAAUAAAUUAUGAAUAAAAAUAUAAGAAUUAGGGACUGUAAUACGAAUAACUGGGUUUAGUAUUUUGGAUGGAUCACUAUGUUAGUUUAAAGAGGCCGGUAUCUUGUCUUAUGAUGGGAGGCCGGUUUAGGUCCAGUCAUGUUCAAAAUGGUAAAAGAUCGGGUUGAGCAGAGUCAUCUUGGAAAUGGCGUCAGACUGGUUGGACUGAGUCAUAAUCAAGACUCGUGGAUGUUACAUCUGUACGUUUUAAAUGAAUCAGCUGUGUAUUUUUAACAGUUUGAACUUUUAGGAUUAACGAUUAGCCUCAUUGAUCCGACAAACUACUCCAACAUUCUUUUAAUUCUAUUUUUCAA
rnacentral:lncRNA from 1 species